rnacentral:rRNA from 1 species
UACAGAGGGGGCAAGCGUUGUUCGGAAUUACUGGGCGUAAAGAGCGCGCAGGCGGCUUGGCAAGUCGGGUGUGAAAUCCCGGGGCUCAACCCCGUGACUGCAUCCGAUACUGUCAGGCUAGAGGUAGGUAGGGGAGAUCGGAAUUCCUGGUGUAGCGGUGAAAUGCGCAGAUAUCAGGAGGAACACCGGUGGCGAAGGCGGAUCUCUGGGCCUUACCUGACGCUCAGGCGCGAAAGCUAGGGGAGCGAACAGG